GACGAACGCUGGCGGCGUGCUUAACACAUGCAAGUCGAACGGAAAGGCCCUGCUUUUGUGGGUUGCUCGAUUGGCGAACGGGUGAGUAACACGUGAGUAACCUGCCCUUGACUUUGGGAUAACUUCAGGAAACUGGGGCUAAUACCGGAUAGGAUCUCCUGCUGCAUGGUGGGGGUUGGAAAGUUUCGGCGGUUGGGGAUGGACUCGCGGCUUAUCAGCUUGUUGGUGGGGUAGUGGCUUACCAAGGCUUUGACGGGUAGCCGGCCUGAGAGGGUGACCGGCCACAUUGGGACUGAGAUACGGCCCAGAAUCCUACGGGAGGCAGCAGGGGGGAAUAUUGCACAAUGGGCGGAAGCCUGAUGCAGAAACGCCGCGUGCGGGAUGACGGCCUUCGGGUUGUAAACCGCUUUCGCCUGUGACGAAGCGUGAGUGACGGUAAUGGGUAAAGAAGCACCGGCUAACUACGUG
rnacentral:rRNA from 1 species